CAUGUGGCUUAAUUUGACUCAACGCGGGAAAUCUUACCGGGUCCGGACACACUGAGGAUUGACAGGCAAUAUAUGUGACUCUUCGGAGUUUGCAUUGUUAAAUAUGCUAGUCCUUUCAUGAUUAUGUGAUAGGUGGUGCAUGGCCGUUCUUAGUUCGUGGAGUGAUCUGUCUGCUUAAUUGCGUUUCAAAUUACUUAUAAGGNAGCAAUACGCGAUGAAGCUUUCAAUAGUCCUCACGGAUUCACUUGAGUCUCUCGCUUCGCUAUCCUUUCNAAUGCAACGAACNUGACCNCNNCCUCUUGUUGCCUUCGUUUAACAU
rnacentral:rRNA from 1 species